AGUGAACGCUGGCGGUAGGCCUAACACAUGCAAGUCGAACGGCAGCACAGUAAGAGCUUGCCCUUACGGGUGGCGAGUGGCGGGUGGGUGAGGAAUACAUCGGAAUCUACUUUUUCGUGGGGGAUAACGUAGGGAAACUUAUGCUAAUACCGCAUACGACCUACGGGUGAAAGCAGGGGAUCUUCGGACCUUGCGUGAUUGAAUGAGCCGAUGUUGGAUUAGCUAGUUGGCGGGGUAAAGGCCCACCAAGGCGACGAUCCGUAGCUGGUCUGAGAGGAUGAUCAGCCACACUGGAACUGAGACACGGUCCAGACUCCUACGGGAGGCAGCAGUGGGGAAUAUUGGACAAUGGGCGAAAGCCUGAUCCAGCCAUACCGCGUGGGUGAAGAAGGCCUUCGGGUUGUAAAGCCCUUUUAUUGGGAAAGAAAAGCAGCAGGUUAAUACCCCGCUGUUCUGACGGUACCCAAAGAAUAAGCAACGGCUAACUUCGUG
rnacentral:rRNA from 1 species